UACGUAGGGGGGCAAGCGUUGUCCGGAAUUAUUGGGCGUAAAGAGCGCGUAGGCGGUCCGAUAAGUCGGCUGUGAAAGUCAGGGGCUCAACCCUUGGAAGCCGGCCGAUACUGUCGGACUAGAGUCCGGAAGAGGCGAGUGGAAUUCCCGGUGUAGCGGUGAAAUGCGCAGAUAUCGGGAGGAACACCAAUGGCGAAGGCAGCUCGCUGGGACGGUACUGACGCUGAGGCGCGAAAGCGUGGGGAGCGAACAGG
rnacentral:rRNA from 1 species